rnacentral:rRNA from 1 species
UACGAAGGGGGCUAGCGUUGCUCGGAAUUACUGGGCGUAAAGGGCGCGUAGGCGGAUGUUUAAGUCAGAGGUGAAAGCCCAGGGCUCAACCUUGGAACUGCCUUUGAUACUGGGCAUCUUGAGUAUGGGAGAGGUGAGUGGAACUCCGAGUGUAGAGGUGAAAUUCGUAGAUAUUCGGAAGAACACCAGUGGCGAAGGCGACUUACUGGACACAUAUUGACGCUGAGGUGCGAAAGCGUGGGGAGCAAACAGG